UUUUCAUUUGAUCGUUCUCUUUCGUAGUGACCAGGCGUGUUUUUGUUUUGCGCUCCGUAUUUUCCUUUCUAUUUUGGAUGAACAACCGGGUUUUUUUCGAAAUAAUUCUUCUUAUAAUUAUUGAAUAGCUUGCCACUUUUCUUAACUAUCCUAAUACGCGAGUGCAUGCCUAUUAUUUGUUUAAAAUUAAAAUCGUAUUCAUUUGUGCGUCGGUUAGUUGUGUGUUUGUACUGUUUCUUUUUGUAAGUACGCCCUCACUAUUACCGCUCUCUCUUGUAGUUGCGCCUCUGCCUUUCACUCUCUAGCUCGAGUAACUGUUCUCCCUCUCUCGCUCACAAUACUUUCUGUGCAGUAGCGUGCACUCACUGUUUUAGCUGCCGCUGCGCUUGUUCUUCUCUCCUCUCUGCGCUCAUCUGUUUUCGAUCCCGCUUUAAGCUUUGCUUUAAGCACUUGGUCGGCACACUGGUCCCAUUGCUAUUUGUUUUGUGAAAAUAAUUUUUGUUUAUUUUUUAUUUAUAUAUUCAAUAUAAAUAAUAAAAAUAAUGGAACACGUGGUUGUGUGUUCCGCUAAGACUUGCAAGAAGCAGAUCACCCACGACCAGCCGAUCAUCCCUUGCUGGCUCUGCGAUAACGUAGUGCACGCAAAAUGUAUUGGGUUCUCAGGCCUCGUGGGUGACGCAAUUUCGAAGCGUAAUGGUCUGCAUUACAGUUGCGGGAGCAUGUCGGUCUAUCGAGAAUGACAUGGUCACGUUUAUGAGGCAGACGCGAAAGGGCUUUAAGGAGCUGAUCGUGGGCUUUAAAAAGCAGUACAAUCGGCUUCUAGCCAUGGAGUCUCAAUUCAGCUGUUUUAAAGUGCUGAAUGAGUCUCCUAGGCGCAAAAAAGUCACUCCUCGUGAUCUGCAAGUGCCUGUCCCUCGACCGCUCGCUGCGAUCAACUGUCUUCGUCCACUCCGAUAGUGCAGCAGCUAAUUUCGUUCGAAACUCCAAGGGCAACGACAGCUGCUGGUGAUCAAGUUUCGGCUACCGAAUCGAUCAUCUCGGAGAAAAUGCAGCCAGUUAGUACUGUAGCGUUCGUGUCUGUCAAGUCCGUUCCAAAGCCACAUCAUAUCCCAUCUAUUUCGAUCCCACCAGUUAAUAAACGUCCCGGACCACCGGAUAUUGCCGUCACAGGUACCAGAUCUGUGGUGCUAAAACCUCUGGUGGGAGUCCCACCAAAGCGGCAAGUUUUUGUCUCUCGACUUGCCCCUGACCUCACAUCUAAUGAUGUAGCUGCUUUUAUACAAAGCAAAAUAAAAGCCGUUGGCUUAAAGGUGAAGAAGUUUAAUUUCUCUUAUGCCAGGGAGAUAUCCUCUUUCAAGAUUAGCGUGUUUCCAAUUCAUUUCGAGACCAUUUGCUCUUCCAAAUUUUGGCCAGAGCACCUGGUUGUUAAAGAGUUUAAGGCUAAGAAGAAAAAUAGGCCCCCCAUAACUCUUCCUAGUAGCGAGGCCAGUGGUCCUUCCUCCUCUGCUCCAUCCACCUCUUCCCACUGCAAUUCCUUGCAGUCAAAAAACGAACAUCCCUCUUUGUAGCCUAUCAAAAUUCUCGCGGCUUACGUAGUAAGCUGAGCACUCUUUUUAUUGAUAGUUUCACAUUUUCAUCCCAUGUUAUUGUGUUUACCGAAACCUGGUUAAAGCCGGACAUUCUUAGUUCCGAAGUUUUGGCAGAUCGGUACACAAUUGAUAGGAAUGCUCGUUCGUCUCGACGUGGAGGAGGGGUUCUGAUUGCAGUAAAGUCUUACUUUACGUCGGAACUUUUCAUAGUCCAGGUCUCACAAGGAAUUCCUCUGUGUUAGACUGAUUCUUCCCGGCCAGUCUAUUUAUGUCACUUGCUCGUAUAUUCCACCGACUUCGGAUGUACUAAUAUACGAGCAGCACUUGUCUGCCAUAAAACUGUUUCUUCCUCGCUAUCUGAUAAAGACCAUUAAAUAGUUCUUGGGGAUUUCAACCUGCCAGGUACUGUCUGGUCUUCGGUUAACGAGUCAAACAACCUUGUACCCAUGUCACGACAUGAGUUUAUUGAUGGCUUAUUAGACAUGUCCCUGUCUCAAGUCAACCAUGUAAAAAACAGCUUGGUUCGAUUGCUUGAUCUGUGCUUUGUCUCGGAUCCGACCGUAGCGUUGUUAACACGAGCACUCCCGCUCACUAUACCUGAAGACUGCUAUCAUCGUACUUUCGAAGUGUCGGUAGAUAUUGGACCUACUGUAUCGGAUCGUGCGGGUAGGCUAUCUGAACGCGUCCGCUGCUUUUGUAAAGCCGAGUUUACGAAGCUCAAUAACUUAAUUAGGGAUUUUGAUUGGUCCGCUCUGUCCUCGUGCACUGACGUCAUUGAAGGCACAAACAUUUUUUACAAUGUACUUGACACAAUUUUUGACACGUGUGUCCCACUUUCAUGUCCGACUAGAUCUGCGAAACCUCCUUGGUUCACCAAAGAGUUAUCCAGUCUAAAGAACCUAAAAUCCAGACUAUUUAAAAAAUCUCAAGAAGUUGGUUCUCCCUCUUCUCUUUCUAAUUACUUAAUAGCUCGGUCAAAUUUCACUGUUCUUAAUGCUCAAUGCUAUAGGAACUACCUACUUCGAUGGGAAGUCCGUUUUUCACAGGACCCUAAACAGUUUUACAGCUUUGUAAAGAGUAAGCGUAGAAUGCUAUCUAUUCUCGCUAUCAUUUUUGAAUAUGUCGGCAAACAAUGAUCAGGCAAUCGCCGAUCUUUUUGCACAAUUUUUUCAGACCACCUAUUCCCAGGAAAGCUACCCAGGUCAUAUGUAUCCAUAUAGUUUACCAAGGUCGAAUGGCAUUUUCUGUCCUUUCUUUAAUGAAGGCUCCUUACUUCAUGAACUUAAAUAAGUUAAGCCGGUAUUUUCACUGGGCCCUGACGGAGUUCCCGGCUGUGUACUCAGGUACUGUGCCGAGUCUCUGUGCGGACCUUUGCUUAAACUAUUCACUCUAUCCAUCCAUUUUUCUAGCUUUCUCCCCAUCUGGAAGGAAUCCUUUAUAAUUAUUUCCAUAAAAAAGGUAGCAAGUCUGACGCUAAAAACUGUAGAGGUAUAUCUAAGUUAUCCGCUAUUCCUAAAAUGUUCGAGAAACUUUUAACUCCGCACUUGCAGCAUCUCUGCAAAUCACUUAUAUCUCCAGCUCAGCACGGAUUUAUACGGCGACGAUCAACAACCACUAAUCUUUUAGAGUUCACCUCCUUUGUCAUUAAAUGAUUUAAAGGUAACUUGCAGACGGAUGUUAUUUACACUGACUUCAGUAAGGCAUUCGAUUCUGUAAACCAUUCUCUUCUUGCACAAAAGCGCGACCUUCUAGGGUUUCCGCCCAAUCUGUUGAGAUGGAUUUCUAGCUACCUGCGUUCUAGGUCUCAAAGGGUCCUUUUCAAAAACUCCUUAUCUUUACCUUUUACGGUUACUUCUGGAGUACCACAGGGUAGCCAUUUAGUUCCCUUACUUUUCACACUCUUUAUUAAUGACCUGCCUUCUGUAUUAACAAAUUCUCGAGUACUUAUGUAUGCGGAUGAUGUUAAACUCUGUGUCCAGUAUAAGGACAUUUAAUUUCACUCUCGCUUGCAAUCUGAUCUCAAUAGCUUUCAAUCAUGGUGCUGUGCAAAUAUGUUACAACUUAAUGCCUCGAAGUGCAAUGUAAUGACUUUUUAUCGCUCCAGCCCCUUAAUGGCUCCUUACACCCUCUGCGGUAGUUCUCUUGAGAGAAUUACAUUGGUUGAUGAUCUAGGUGUUAAACUAGACCCCAAGUUAAAGUUUUCUGAACACAUUUCUACCAUGGUAAAUAAAGCCAUGGGUGUGCUUGGGUUUAUAAAGAGGUGGUCAAAGGAAUUUGAGGACCCCUAUAUAACGAAGACUCUCUACAUCUCGCUUGUUCGUCCGAUUUUAGAAUACGGCUCAUGUGUAUGGUGCCCUCAGUACAACAUACAUCAGGACCGUAUUGAAUCAGUACAGAAAAACGUUUUAUUAUUUGCCCUACAGGGCCUCAACUGGGAUGCAACUGUGAGACUGCCAUCCUACCGUAGUAGACUUCUUUUAAUAAAUCUUCCAUCCUUAGUUAGUCGUAGAAAAAUGCUUGGUGUAAUUUGUAUGCACAACUUGAUCAAAGGGGAUGUAGACAGCCCUGACUUGCUUAGCCGCAUAAACUUUACUAUUCCCAUUAGACGCACUAGAAACUAUAUUACUUUGUUCCUUCCACUGUGCAGAUCGAAUUAUGUCUCACACGAACCCUUUAGGGUCUUAUGAUCGGAUUAUAAUUCCCUCUACCACAUUAUAUCCUCAAGGGAAGGGAAGGGAGUUACUUCCUCUUUUUAAAUCUCUUAUACUAGCCUACCUCUCCCGUAGUUAGCUUCAUUUUAGUUUUGUCUUGUUUGUGAUUUUGGUAAUUUUUGCUUGCUUAGCUAUAGUAGCUCUAGUCUAGUUAUGUUUAGCUCUAAUUUUCCUCGAAUAUUAGCCUAACAUCUAUCUUUCCUGCAUGCUCGCGACCGGUUCGGUUAAUCGCGCCGCGCGUCAUACGGCAGCGCCCCUCGGUCGGUUGGGCGGGAGGAGGGCUGCGUUCUGCUGGGUUCCGCGCGUGACAGGCUUUGGCUUGGUGUCGCAUGGGCCACUUGAUGGUGCAGUCAUUGCAUAUCAACGUCCAGACAUUAUUGCUUCAAGUGGUCAAUUUUAGCAUCAUUGGCAUAUAGACGGCACUUGAGCAUUAUGCCUACAUAACGUGCAUGAACAAAUUAUGCUAUUCUUAACAUAAUAAAUCCCAUUGCUCGGCAUAUUUUUGUAAAAAAUUUUUACAAUUAUAUACUACCACAAAUACCACCCAUGACAAUAAAGAGUACGGAAAAGUUGCUGCCCAAUAUCCUACUCCAAAUACCAAAACGGUUUUUACAAGUUUCAUCAAAAAAUCUCAUCUCAAAGGAAAGUUUUCAUAGAAAUCUGAAUGAUCCCUUAAAAUCAUCUACCACUAUGGCUCAGAAGCAUACGGCAUGUGCAGUGUCAUUUCAUGUUGUACAUGAGAUGUGGACAUAUGAAGGUAAAUAUUAUCACAAUCUAAAGGUAAUAAAACUGUUAAACAUUUACGCUAUUUCAGGACCAGAUUGUAUCGAUAAAUUUUGCCAAGUGCUUCGAUAGAAAACCAUGGGACUUUAUGAGAAGUACUGGAAAUCCACUAAAAAACCAAUCUACGAGUUCAACAUUUGGGAUGAGGACUACCAGGAACAUGGAGAGUGCUAUGCCUGUAAAGAGCCCAUUUCGACUGACGACCGGGAGAACUUUUUUAACCAAUUCACAGGCCAAUACGUAGGUCCUAUUUAUAAAGUAUGUAAGCAAGCAUUUAAACUAAGCCAUCCUUUUUUUCCGGUAGUCUUUCAUAACUUGUCUCGUUAUGGUAUUCAUUUAUUUGUAACAUCAAUGCAAGAUGAACUUAAACCCAUACCGUGUAACAAAGAGUUAUACAUUGCGCUAACUCAAAUUGUUGAGAUUGAUUCUUCAAAUCAACAGCAUUAUAAAAUAAGAUAUAUAGAUUCAAAUAGAUUUUUAAAUUCGAGCUUAGAAAAACUUGCUAGUUAUAUGGAUCAAUCAAAUUUUAAAAUUAAAAAAAACAAGUAUCAAGGGGAAAAAUUUGAUAUGUUAAGGCGAAAAGGAGUAUUUCCAUACGAAUAUUUAGAUAGCUUUAACAAAUUUGACGAUCCCCAACUACCUUCGAUAGAAUUUUUUUUCAACUCACUGUGAUGAGGAGUCUAUUUUAGAAGACUAUAGCUUUGCUCAGAAGGUUUGGAGAACAUUUAAUUGCAGCAGUAUUCGAGAUUAUUUGAAAUUAUACUAAGAAAGCGAUGUUUUAAUUCUUGCUGAUGUAUUUGCUCAAAAAAUUAUGUUACUGCUCCUUCUGUUUCAUGGGAUGCAAUGCUUAAAUAUACAGAGAUAGAAUAGGAGCUAGUUAGUGAUCCGGAUAUAUAUAACUUUUUGAAAACUUCAGUACGCGGAGGGUUAACUCAAUGCACUCAACGGAUAGCUACGGCAAAUAAUAGAUAUUUAAAUGAUAGAUUCAGGGCCAGUGAUCCUCUAAACUAUCUAGGUUACAUUGACGCCAACAAUUUAUAUGGUUGGGCAAUGAGCCAGCCACUUCCAUAUUCCAAUUUCAAAUUUCUAAGUAUCGAUGAAAUUCAAUCUUUCAACGCUCUAAGUAUAUCUGCUUGCGGGGAUGUAGGAUGUACAUUAACAUCUUAAAAUUAGAUCUGAAAUAUCCUGAUUCUAUACACAAUAAACAUAAUAGUUUACCAUUCUGCCCCGAAAAUAAGAUUCCUCCAGGCGGAAAACAAUCAAAAUUGAUAGCGGACUUAUCUGAUAAAAAGAAUUAUAUAAUACAUUUGAAACAGUUGCAGUUAUGCAUAGAACAAGGUAUGAUUUUAGAAAAAAUAUCGCGAGUAUUAUCUUUUAAGCAAUCCUGUUGGCUUAAACCCUAUAUUGAUCUAAAGCCAUCCCAUAGAAAAGUAGCUAAGAAUGAGUUUGAGAUAAACUUUUAUAAAUUAAUGGUUAAUGCUGUCUACGGUAAAACGAUGGAGAAUGUAGAAAAGCGACGUGAGGUCGCAUUAAUUAAACAUUAUAAUUCAAGACAAAAUUCCGCAGGGUUUAACGCAUAGCUAGACAUAAUUUUCACAGUGUUGAAAUCUUUGGCGAAAAUGUAGCUGCCAUUGAGUCCACUAAAUCAAUAAUUUUGUAUGAUAAACCCAUAUACAUUGGAGUUUGUGUACUAGAACUUUCAAAAUGGUUAAUGUAUGACUAUUUCUAUAAUUUUCAUUCUCUAAAAUGCCCAUCAUCAAAAAUACUCUACAUGGAUACAGAUUCAUUUAUUCUAUCAUCAAAAGAAGAUUUUUAUGGGUUAAUUAAAGACAAUCCUACUCGCUUUGAUAUCUCAAAUUACCAAGAGUACAACAUUUUCGGGAUAAAUCGGGGAUUCAAUAACAAAGAACUAGGUUUAAUGAAAGACGAAAAUUCGGGUGGUAUGAUGACCUCAUUUGCAGGGUUAAAAGCGAAAGCAUACUCUUAUUUAGUUGCCAUAGAUAAUAGCACUGACCAUAACGGUAGUUAAACGAUUAUCACAUGCUCAGUAUAUUAAAUGCAUUAAACAUAAAAAACAUAUUAUGGAAAGCAGAGAGUAAUCAGAAGUAGAGGUCAUAAAAUGUAUACUGAAAUUGUAAAUAAGAUAAGUCUAUAUUAUAACAUGACAAAAGAUUUAUCCGAUAAUAUUUCAACGUUAG
rnacentral:lncRNA from 1 species